rnacentral:rRNA from 1 species
GAUGAACGCUGGCUACAGGCUUAACACAUGCAAGUCGAGGGGAAACGACGGGGAAGCUUGCUUCCCCGGGCGUCGACCGGCGCACGGGUGAGUAACGCGUAUCCAACCUGCCUCUGACUAAGGGAUAACCCGUCGAAAGUCGGCCUAAUACCUCAUGGUAUCGUCUGCGGGCAUCCAACGACGAUUAAAGAUUUCAUCGGUCAGGGAUGGGGAUGCGUCUGAUUAGCUUGUUGGCGGGGUAACGGCCCACCAAGGCUACGAUCAGUAGGGGUUCUGAGAGGAAGGUCCCCCACAUUGGAACUGAGACACGGUCCAAACUCCUACGGGAGGCAGCAGUGAGGAAUAUUGGUCAAUGGGCGAGAGCCUGAACCAGCCAAGUAGCGUGCAGGAAGACGGCCCUAUGGGUUGUAAACUGCUUUUAUGCGGGGAUAAAGUGAGGGACGUGUCCCUCAUUGCAGGUACCGCAUGAAUAAGGACCGGCUAAUUCCGUG